CCUACGGGAGGCAGCAGUGGGGGAUAUUGCACAAUGGGGGAAACCCUGAUGCAGCGACGCCGCGUGGGUGAAGAAGCGCCUCGGCGCGUAAAGCCCUGUCAGCAGGGAAGAAAAUGACGUUACCUGAAGAAGAAGCCCCGGCUAACUACGUGCCAGCAGCCGCGGUAAUACGUAGGGGGCAAGCGUUAUCCGGAUUGACUGGGUGUAAAGGGGGCGCAGACGGCGAUGCAAGCCAGUGGUGAAAGCCCGGGGCCCAACCCCGGGACUGCUCUUGGAACUGCGUGGCUAGAGUGCAGGAGGGGCAGGCGGAAUUCCUGGUGUAGCGGUGAAAUGCGUAGAUAUCAGGAGGAACACCGGUGGCGAAGGCGGCCUGCUGGACUGCAACUGACGUUGAGGCCCGAAAGCGUGGGGAGCAAACAGGAUUAGAUACCCGUGUAGUC
rnacentral:rRNA from 1 species